ensembl:lncRNA
GUGAAACAUAUAGAGGAAUACUGCAAGUCAUGUCCAGAGUGCCAGCUGACCCAACCUAAGACAGGCCCUGGAGCAGGCCUGGUACCAAUGCUGUUGGUAGAUAGACCUUUCGAUCGGAUUGCUAUGGACAUCGUAGGCCCCUUGGCUAAAUCGGAAGGGGGACACCAGUAUAUACUGGUGAUCAUUGACUAUGCAACACGAUACCCCAAGGCCAUUCCAUUGAGGUCGACCACAGCGAAAGUGCUGGCAAAGGAACUUUUGGGGGGUCUUCUCAAGAGUGGAGUUCCUGAGAGAGGUGUUAACAGACCAGGGGUCCAAUUUUAUUAGUUCGACCUUUAAACAAAUGUGGGAUAUGUUAGGGGUCAAGCCCCUUAGAACCUCAAUCUAUCAUCCUCAAGCUAACGGCUUGGUGGAGAGGUUUAACCGCACCUUGAAAGGAAUGCUAAGGAAGGUGGCGUUAGAGCAUCCCAAAAAAUGGCAUAUGUCUGUUAAUCCCUUAAUGUUUGCGGGCAGAGAAGCCCCCCAGUCGUCAACAGGCUUCUCACCAUUUGAACUAUUAUAUGGGAGACAGCCACGGGGGAUAUUGGACCUGGUACGGGAAAAGUGGGAGGAAGGAGAAGACGCAUCACGGAACACCCUACAGCAAAUAGUAGAGAUGAGAAACAAUUUGAAAGUAGCGUGGGAGGUGGCGCAGGACAAUCUGGUAAAGGUACAGGGGAAACAGAAGGAGCGCUACGAUAAAAGGGUCAAACCUAGAGAAUUUGAGGCUGGACAAAAGGUAUUAGUAUUAUUGCCCACAGAAACAUCUAAAUUUUUAGCUAAGUGGCAUGGGCCAUAUGACAUAACCCGGAGGGUAAAUGAGGUGGAUUAUGAGGUAGAGACCCCUGACCGGAAAAAGAAAAGACAAAUCUUCCACGUGAAUCUACUAAAAGCCUGGGUAGACCGUGAAUGCUUCUUCGAUGGGGAGGCCGAUGACGAUUUAGGGCCAGAAAUAGGGGAAAUGAGGGAGGAAGACGACAUCACGGUAGGCGACGUUCUGAACCCCCUGCAAAAGGGACAAGCUCUCGCCCUGAAAGCGGAAUUCCCACAGGUAUUCUCCAAGAUACCGGGACAAAGCUCACUGGUGGAACACUCAAUUGAAACAGCCCCAGGAAUGGUGGUGAGGGAGAAUGGGAGAACGUGGCCACACCAAGUGACGGCGCUUAUGGAAAAGGAGGUCGAGGACAUGUUGAAUAUUGGGGUUAUAGAACCGGCCAAAGGCCCCUGGCGAAGUUUCCCGGUAAUAGUGCCCAAACCUGAUGGGUCUUUGAGGUUUUGUGUAGAUUUCAGAAAGGUGAACGCGAAGGUGAAUGCAGUUUCAAAGUUCGACGCAUACCCUAUGCCGAAGGUAGGAGAUUUAUUGGAUAAACUGGGAAACGCCAGAUACCUAAGCUCAAUUGAUUUAACAAAAGGAUACUGGCAGAUCCCAGUGAGGGCCCAGGAUAGAGAAAAGACGGCCUUCUGCACCCCAAAGGGGCUUUUUCAAUUUGUUAAAAUGCCGUUUGGGCUCCAUGGGGCCGCGGCGACUUUCCAAAGGCUCAUGGAUAAGUUGUUGGAGUCCCAGAGGGACUGGGCGGCAGCGUACAUCGAUGAUAUCAUUGUUUUCAGCUCGAGUUGGGAAGAACAUCUCUUACACUUGAGAAAGGUGCUCCGUGAGUUGCAAGGAGCCGGGCUGACCGUUAACCCCAAGAAGUGCCAGAUUGGGUUAGACAAAGUGGAAUAUC